UACGAAGGGGGAGCUAGCGUUGCUCGGAAUCACUGGGCGUAAAGGGUGCGUAGGCGGGUCUUUAAGUCAGGGGUGAAAUCCUGGAGCUCAACUCCAGAACUGCCUUUGAUACUGAGGAUCUUGAGUCCGGGAGAGGUGAGUGGAACUGCGAGUGUAGAGGUGAAAUUCGUAGAUAUUCGCAAGAACACCAGUGGCGAAGGCGGCUCACUGGCCCGGUACUGACGCUGAGGCACGAAAGCGUGGGGAGCAAACAGG
rnacentral:rRNA from 1 species